CAAGGAAGAUGAUGCUCUGGCCCAGGUCACCGAAGGGGAGCCGCCAGCCCCGCCGUGCCGGAUCACUAGCUUGGUGGGAAGGUUGCAGCACGGGCUGUUUCUUCAGGCUACACAAUUUGCCGUCAUACUGUGGAAGGAGGAAAGGUUGAGUGACCAGGUGCUGCUGGGAGGAAGACUUCUCGGUCUCCUCAGUCUAGGUCCCCUCUCUAGCCAGGGACAUGGAUGGUGAAGGGGGCUGGCCCCGGCUACCGCAUCCCUGCCCAUCAAGAGAUACCCGGUGGGGCAAGCCAGGUCUCUGCCCCGGCUGCCCUUAACGAUGGACUGUGACCCCGAAGACAGCUCACACUUGGAUCCCUAGCUGCCACGAGGUUCCUUACCUGCAGUGCCGGGGGCUUCCCUGACCCAGACACAGCAGCUUUGGCCACACUCAGGGUUGGAAGGUUG